rnacentral:rRNA from 1 species
GAAUAUUGCGCAAUGGCCUAAGGGCUGACGCAGCGACGCCGCGUGUGGGAGGACGCCCCUAGGGGUGUAAACCACUGUUGCCCGGGACGAAUCCUGGAUUAGUUCCAGGUUGACGGUACCGGGUGAGGAAGCACCGGCUAACUCCGUGCCAGCAGCCGCGGUAAUACGGAGGGUGCGAGCGUUGUCCGGAAUCACUGGGCGUAAAGGGCGCGUAGGCGGCAGGCCAAGCGUGCGGUGAAAGUCCGGGGCUCAACCCCGGAUCUGCCGUGCGGACUGGUUUGCUAGAGCACUGUAGAGGCGAGUGGAAUUCCGGGUGUAGCGGUGGAAUGCGUAGAGAUCCGGAAGAACACCGGUGGCGAAGGCGGCUCGCUGGGCAGUGGCUGACGCUGAGGCGCGACAGCGUGGGGAGCAAACAG